rnacentral:rRNA from 1 species
CUACGGGUGGCUGCAGUGGGGAAUAUUGGACAAUGGGGGAAGCCCUGAUCCAGCAAUGCCGCGUGUGUGAAGAAGGCCUGCGGGUUGUAAAGCACUUUCGGUUGGGAGGACUGCUUCUAGCACUAAUAUUGUUGGAAGUUGACGUUACCUUCAGAAGAAGCACCGGCUAACUCCGUGCUAGCAGCCGCGGGUAAUACGGAGGGUGCAAGCGUUAAUCGGAAUUACUGGGCGUAAAGCGCGCGUAGGCGGCUAGAUCAGUCGGGUGUGAAAGCCCCGGGCUUAACCUGGGAACUGCAUCCGAUACUGUCUAGCUUGAGUACAGGAGAGGAGAGUGAAAUUCCACAUGUAGCGGUGAAAUGCGUAGAUAUGUGGAGGAACACCAAUGGCGAAGGCAGCUCUCUGGCCUGAUACUGACGCUGAGGUGCGAAAGCGUGGGGAGCAAACAGGAUUAGAUACCCCAGUAGUC